CAAAUAUUCCCCAGAAGCCUAAUAUGUGCUCCAUGCUACCACACACAAGGGCAAAUGGAUAGAUGAAGAGGACACCCUUAUUAUCUAAGAGUGUGGGAACUGGACUGGAGCCAAAAAUCCCAACAGCUCAAACUCAGGGCUGGGUCAGAAUCAGGCGGAGAACCCGGAGUGGUGACAGUGAUGGCAGCAGAGCCAGGGUGAGACUGAGAGUGCUCAGACUAAUUUUCUUGGAAGUAGUGGAAAGCUCCGCUAAAAAAGAAACAUGGGUUUGGAUUGAGCAGAAUGUCAAGAGCCCUGAGAACCAACCAAAAAAUGGCAGAUGAGCUGUUUCAGGGGCAACAUUUAGGAAAGUGAAAUCUCUGCUUUGCUUACAAUGACGGGACUGAAAAUGGCAAUUCUGCACAGGAAAGGGACUGUGGGACUCUUCCAAGACAUUUAGGACAUCCAAGUUUCUUUGAAGGUUGGCACAUCAGUCUUUAUUCUUCCACAGGAAGCCAGCAAACUGAGAAGAUGGCAGACUGGUGUCCUAAAGGACCAUCUUCAAAGGUUCAUUGUCUGGAACCCCUGUAACAAA
rnacentral:lncRNA from 1 species